GUAACAAGGUUUCCGUAGGUGAACUUGCGGAAGGAUCAUUAUCCAUCUCAAACCAGGUGCGGUCGCGGCCCCCGGGGGCUUGCUCCCGGGUGGUAGGGGUAACACCCUCACGCGCCGCCUGCCUGUACCCUCUUUUUACGAGCACCUUUCGUUCUCCUUCGGCGGGGCAACCUGCCGCUGGAACCAAAACAAAACCUUUUUUGCAUCUAGCAUUACCUGUUCUGAUACAAAUAAUCGUUACAACUUUCAACAAUGGAUCUCUUGGCUCUGGCAUCGAUGAAGAACGCAGCGAAAUGCGAUAAGUAGUGUGAAUUGCAGAAUUCAGUGAAUCAUCGAAUCUUUGAACGCACAUUGCGCCCCUUGGUAUUCCAUGGGGCAUGCCUGUUCGAGCGUCAUCUACACCCUCAAGCUCUGCUUGGUGUUGGGCGUCUGUCCCGCCUCUGCGCGCGGACUCGCCCCAAAUUCAUUGGCAGCGGUCUUUGCCUCCUCUCGCGCAGCACAAUUGCGUCUGCGGGGGGGCGUGGCCCGCGUCCACGAAGCAACAUUACCGUCUUUGACCUCGGAUCAGGUAGGGAUACCCGCUGAACUUAA
rnacentral:rRNA from 1 species